GUGGGGAAUAUUGGACAAUGGGGGGAACCCUGAUCCAGCGACGCCGCGUGAGUGAAGAAGUAUUUCGGUAUGUAAAGCUCUAUCAGCAGGGAAGAAGAAAAGGACGGUACCUGACUAAGAAGCCCCGGCUAACUACGUGCCAGCAGCCGCGGUAAUACGUAGGGGGCAAGCGUUAUCCGGAUUUACUGGGUGUAAAGGGAGCGUAGACGGUAGUGCAAGUCUGAAGUGAAAGGCGGGGGCCCAACCCCCGGACUGCUUUGGAAACUGUGCUGCUAGAGUGCAGGAGAGGUAAGUGGAAUUCCUAGUGUAGCGGUGAAAUGCGUAGAUAUUAGGAGGAACACCAGUGGCGAAGGCGGCUUACUGGACUGUAACUGACGUUGAGGCUCGAAAGCGUGGGGAGCAAACAGGAUUAGAUACCCUAGUAGUCC
rnacentral:rRNA from 1 species